AGCGAACGCUGGCAGCAGGCUUAACACAUGCAAGUCGAGCGCCCCGCCAGGGGAGCGGCAGACGGGAGAGUACCACGUGGGAACAUACCUUUUGGUUCGGAACAACUGAGGGAAACUUCAGCUAAUACCGGAUAAGCCCUUACGGGGAAAGAUUUAUCGCCGAAAGAUUGGCCCGCGUCUGAUUAGCUAGUUGGUGAGGUAACGGCUCACCAAGGCGACGAUCAGUAGCUGGUCUGAGAGGAUGAUCAGCCUCACUGGGACUGAGACACGGCCCAGACUCCUACGGGAGGCAGCAGUGGGGAAUAUUGGACAAUGGGGGCAACCCUGAUCCAGCCAUGCCGCGUGAGUGAUGAAGGCCUUAGGGUUGUAAAGCUCUUUUGCCCGGGAAGAUAAUGACGGUACCGGGAGAAUAAGCCCCGGCUAACUUCGUG
rnacentral:rRNA from 1 species